rnacentral:tRNA from 1 species
AUUUGUAUAAUAUAAAUAAUAGUAUAUUUGAUUUCCAAUCAAAAAGUCUAAAUUUAGUACAAAUA